AAGAGAUAUGGUCGAGCGCACGAAUUGCGGGAUUGGUCAGCGACUCUUUCGCCCCUCACACCCAGCGUCUCCCUCCUUGCUAGGGUUAGGAAAAACGUGGCCGCCGCCGCCGCCGCCGCCCUCCCCCACUUCGCUCCAGGUCACCCCUCUCCAUGUCCCGUCCUGAGCUCCACCUCCUCCAGCCCCCGCCUGGGCUCUGCUCCUUCUUCCUUGUUGGCGCUCAACCGGACGAGGGUGGACUGCCACAAGCCGCAGCAGAGGGACACGUCGAUGAGGAUGGCAAGUCGAGCCAGAGGGGAUCGGGAGGCAUGAGGCGUGGAUACGGGUGGAGCGGCUGAAGAAGGGGUUAUGUGGGGCAACCGUCCCGUCUUCUUCCGUGGAGUGGUCACUGUCGUCGCCAAGCUACUCAACUCGUCGAACACGAUGUCGCCAUGUUCGGGAAGAAGGAUUAUCAGCAGUGGCGUCUCCUUUGCCGAAUGGGAAGGAUACAUGUCUGUGUCUAUUUUGAUGCUUCAGGCCUUCAGUAUUAGAGCUGACGCGGACAGUUGAUUCCUUGCAUCAAUGGGAAGGCUACAUUAGCCAAAGCUUGGGGGCAAGAUGAUCUCCAGCCCGGCCUGGCCACCGCUGGCAUGUCGGUGCCCUCAACAAGUUCCUGCACGGGGAUGUGAAGUCUGGUCCGAGGCCGCUUGGCAGGAUGGCGCUCACUCUAGUGCCAAGUAGAAUUCUUGAGCUCCUGCUUCACUUGCAAGAAGAAGCUGUAAGGAAACUGCAUUUACAUCUAUCACUAUGCUCAGUCUUUCAGAGUUUUAGUUUGAAGAUACUCCGAUGAUUACACCUGAAUGAAAACAGUUUAUCCAACAAAUAAUUGUGGCGUUGUUCGCCUGGGAACAUCCCAUAUACAUUUGGGGAGGAAAUCUUGUGAAAACUUGAAACAUUCAUCCAAUUAUUUCUUUGUACAGCAACUGAACAUAUUGCUUCGGUGAAAUCAUUCAUCCAAUUGCAUUAUUUGAUACAACAACUGUUUCUUUCUAUGCAUCUUCAGACAGAAAGGCAUACUGAUCUAAUUGUUGUGUGCCAUUGCAUCGGUGAGAAGGCAUUCUGCAGUGCCGACUGCCGGGACCAAGAGAUCAUGAUCGAAGAGGAAGCAAAGAACAAGAUCGCCAUCAGAUGCUUGUCCUGCUCAUCCCUGCCCACCGGUGGAUGGAACGGACAACAGCGGAGGACAUGGACAUGGCUUGUCCUGCUCGUCCUGAACAACGUCGAGAGUCAUAUGAGGCUUACUGGAAGCGGCAACAUUAGUGGCAUUCCGGUCCAAUGCAGCUGUUCAAGCUUUGCAUAUCCGACAUCAUCGAGCCCAAGGCAUUGUUAUGCUCUUUUUGUUGUAAUAUCUAAGCAGAAUGUACUACAAACUAGAUAAUCUGACGAAGAUGUGGCACAUGAGAUGUUCUCCAAUAGUGUUAACUUGUUGUCGAAAACUCUGAAAUGGUACUGCAUUUUGAACUGAGUGUCAAACCCAAUUGAGUCAAGUCUCCCUUGCAGUAUAGUAUUUUGUGGCGCUUGAUUAGGUUACACUUUGAAAAUCAUUUCCCUUCUGUAUGCAUCAUGUGAUCUCUUUUUGUUCCAGUAGGGACCAUUCAGUGGGAUUUGUAUUGUAAUAAGCUUUGCACCUGAAUUGAUAUUUUAUAGUUAACAGAGUUAAGUCGCAGGAAAUAUGUGUUUUUGGUAAUUGAGCUAGAUAUAUGUGUGUUUCUUUUUUGCUGUAAUGUGGUCGUUAUUUUAAUUUAGAAAAUAGAAGCAUGAAGUGUGAUUGUAAGGAUCUAAUAACAGAUGUUGUUUGCAUAACAAGAUGUGUACUGUACCUACUUACUAAUAGCAGAAUCUUAAUCCUUCGCAAGCAGUCGCCAUCAAUGUAGACUUGGCAUGCCCGGGUUUACUUUGUGAACAAUAUCAUUUAGGAACCGACUGCCAUUUGCUGAAUUGUUGAAAAGUGGAUAUGAUGGAAGAAGGUACCGGAAAUGUUCUUGUUGUUGUAAGCUAUUUGCAUGAAGCGCUAAAGUGCAAAAGAGAUUGCUUGGAGCAGACAUAGAGGGUUUGACGCUGCUGCUUCUUACCUCUGUAGAGAUCCUGGUAUGGUGCCUCGUAACAAUGAUACUGGAAAUGGUCAGACUCCACAACAAUUGCGCUUACCACGAACAAAGGAUGUUAUUGUAAAUGGAACCGUUGUAAAGGUCAAGUACUACCACACCUACAUGCUGCACCCGCCACCUCGUUCUUCUCACUGUUCUAUCUAUGACAACUGUGUGGAGCGUUUUGAUCAUCACUGUCCUUGGGUUGGUCAAUGCAUAGGACUGGUAACUAUAUUAAUGCCUAAUAGUCUACUCUGCCUCUACGUGUCUGGGUUCUGCUGGGUGUACAUAACUAAGAUCAAAGAUGCAGAGGAUUCAUCGAUUUGGAGGGCAAUGUUGAAGACACCUGCCGAGUGGUUCUGAUCAUCUACUAUUUUAUUUAUGUGUGGUUUUUUGGCGGUCUUUUUGUCUUUCAUCUCUACCUGAAGAGCACCAAUCUGGUCGCUUCCCUUUCCACCUUUCCUCUGUUUUAAAACUCUUGGUAUUUAAAUCAUUUUGUCGCAACUUCGUAAUUAUUCAAUCCUUCACCUCUGCAAACUACAUACGAGAACUUUAGGUAUCGGUGCGACCUACGGGCUAACCUAUAUAACAAGAUUGCUUAGAGCUAACAUAGAGGUUAAUUAAAUUAAUCUUUAGUUCUUCUCUUGUCAUGUUUUCAUUAGUAAACCUUAAGGUAAUUUCUCUUAGAAAAUCAUGUCUUCAUGGCCGGCAUGAUGAUGGCGACAUGACCCCCCGUGACGAUGACCCGAUCCGGCCGGACACCGUCUUCUUCGCCACGAGGAAAUGUUUUGCAUGCCUUCAAAGCUUAAUAAAAUAUUUUGCAUGUCUUUGCUUGCUACACUAAUAUGCAGGUUUUGUGGAAUGAUGAACAAGACCUCUUCUUUUCAAAAUAUAUGCUAGAGAGUACUCGUUGGAUUUAUAGAGAUGAAGUGUUUGUAAAAUUGCUUAAUAUCUUAUAUCUUGCUUGUGCAAGGCACCAGGAGAGAGAUCGUAUCAUAUUUCUUGUCAGCUGUGCUCUGGAUCUUCUCCUAUUCAUAUAAGUAACAGCACAUUCCUAUGAAGGAAUUCAUAUAGGCUUACAUUUCAUUGCAUCUCCUCUGUCAUUUUUAAUUGGUUAUAUGUUGUGUUGUUGUAGA